UACGAAGGGGGCUAGCGUUGUUCGGAUUUACUGGGCGUAAAGCGUACGUAGGCGGGUGGUUAAGUCAGAGGUGAAAUCCUGGAGCUCAACUUCAGAACUGCCUUUGAUACUGGCCAUCUUGAGUUCGGGAGAGGUGAGUGGAACUGCUAGUGUAGAGGUGAAAUUCGUAGAUAUUAGCAAGAACACCAGUGGCGAAGGCGGCUCACUGGCCCGAUACUGACGCUGAGGUACGAAAGCGUGGGGAGCAAACAGGAUUAGAUACCCUGGUAGUCCACGCUGUAAACGAUGAAUGCCAGCCGUCGGGGAGCAUGCUCUUCGGUGGCACAGCUAACGCAUUAAGCAUUCCGCCUGGGGAGUACGGUCGCAAGAUUAAA
rnacentral:rRNA from 1 species